rnacentral:rRNA from 1 species
CCUACGGGGGGCAGCAGUGAGGAAUAUUGGUCAAUGGACGAGAGUCUGAACCAGCCAAGUAGCGUGAAGGAUGACUGCCCUAUGGGUUGUAAACUUCUUUUAUAUGGGAAUAAAAUGUUCCACGUGUGGGAUUUUGUAUGUACCAUAUGAAUAAGGAUCGGCUAACUCCGUGCCAGCAGCCGCGGUAAUACGGAGGAUCCGAGCGUUAUCCGGAUUUAUUGGGUUUAAAGGGAGCGUAGGUGGAUUGUUAAGUCAGUUGUGAAAGUUUGCGGCUCAACCGUAAAAUUGCAGUUGAAACUGGCAGUCUUGAGUACAGUAGAGGUGGGCGGAAUUCGUGGUGUAGCGGUGAAAUGCUUAGAUAUCACGAAGAACUCCGAUUGCGAAGGCAGUUCACUGGACUGCAACUGACACUGAGGCUCGAAAGUGUGGGUAUCAAACAGGAUUAGAGACCUUAGUAGUC